CCUACGGGUGGCAGCAGUGAGGAAUAUUGGUCAAUGGGCGGGAGCCUGAACCAGCCAAGCCGCGUGAGGGAAGAAGGUACAGCGUAUCGUAAACCUCUUUUGUCAGGGAACAAAGUCGGGGACUAGUCCCCGGAUGAGGGUACCUGAAGAAAAAGCAUCGGCUAACUCCGUGCCAGCAGCCGCGGUAAUACGGAGGAUGCGUGCGUUAUCCGGAUUUAUUGGGUUUAAAGGGUGCGCAGGCGGCCUGUUAAGUCGGCGGUAAAAGCCCGGGGCUCAACCCGGGCGAGCCGUUGAAACUGGCGGGAUGGAGUGGGAGCGAGGUAGGCGGAAUGCGCGGUGUAGCGGUGAAAUGCUUAGAUAUCGCGCAGAACCCCGAUUGCGAAGGCAGCGUACGGGAUCCAGACUGACGCUGAGGCACGAAGGCGUGGGUAUCGAACAGGAUUAGAUACCCCUGUAGUC
rnacentral:rRNA from 1 species